rnacentral:snoRNA from 1 species
AAGACUAUACUUUCAGGGAUCAUUUCUAUAGUUUGUGAUAUUAGUAACUUGGAAGGGGAGCCACCCCUAGAUGCUGAAGGGGCAAGGCUGACUGGAAUGUUCUGAGUGCC